UAGGGAAUCUUCGGCAAUGGGGGCAACCCUGACCGAGCAACGCCGCGUGAGUGAAGAAGGUUUUCGGAUCGUAAAGCUCUGUUGUAAGAGAAGAACGUGUGUGAGAGUGGAAAGUUCACACAGUGACGGUAACUUACCAGAAAGGGACGGCUAACUACGUGCCAGCAGCCGCGGUAAUACGUAGGUCCCGAGCGUUGUCCGGAUUUAUUGGGCGUAAAGCGAGCGAAGGCGGUUGAAUAAGUCUGAAGUUAAAGGCAGUGGCUUAACCAUUGUUCGCUUUGGAAACUGUUAAACUUGAGUGCAGAAGGGGAGAGUGGAAUUCCAUGUGUAGCGGUGAAAUGCGUAGAUAUAUGGAGGAACACCGGUGGCGAAAGCGGCUCUCUGGUCUGUAACUGACGCUGAGGCUCGAAAGCGUGGGGAGCAAACAGG
rnacentral:rRNA from 1 species